GCCUAUGCGGCCUCACAGGGUCAACUGGGGGAAGAUGGGGUUACCUGGCCCCCAGGGUCUUCCCCAAGCCCUUGAACUCCCUUCGCUCCCGGUCAGGGAACAGCGUCUUCCUGCACUUAACCCCAAAGGAAGUCCAACGGCUCGGCUAUCCGGAGACCCAAGGGAGAGCCGUCGAGGUGAAAAACCCAGUGGUCUAGGCCUACGAGGAGAGGGUCCUGGUGACGCAGUUGGAGAAGGCAGAGGUGUCUCAUCGAUGAAGGUAUUCUGGAGGGCCUCCGAGGGCUCGGCUCUGGGCUGGGAGGAUCCGGAUAUCAUCCGAUGAGGACCACUUGUGCAGGAAGGAGCCUGGUGCCCGAGGAGUAGAAAAGAUGUUGGUCUCAUCGUGGGAUAAUCGUCGGGACAAAGGGACCUGGGAAGAGGAGCAGGUGAGACCUGGAGAUGCUGC
rnacentral:lncRNA from 1 species